AAUAUAUAUWUAUAAGGAUUAUAUUUAAAAUUAAAAUAUUUGGCGGCUAUUUAUAUUAAAGGGAUUUGCUUUUUUAUCGAUUUACCUCGUUUAUUAUUAUUUAACUUGUUUUUGUAUACCGUCAUCUAGAUAAUUUUUAUAAAAUUAAUUAUGAUAAUAAUGUUCUAUAUAUUAGAUCAAGGUGCAGAUAUAUUUAAUUUUAAGUUAAUGACAAUAAUUUAUUAUUACACAUAAUUUAUAUAAAUUUAUAAGAAUAGGUGGAUUUAAAUGUAAUAGAAAAAGGUUGAAAUUAAAUUAAUAGUGUACACAUCGCCCGUCAACUCU
rnacentral:rRNA from 1 species